UGGGGAAUAUUGGACAAUGGGGGCAACCCUGAUCCAGCAAUGCCGCGUGAGUGAUGAAGGCCCUAGGGUUGUAAAGCUCUUUUACCAGGGAUGAUAAUGACAGUACCUGGAGAAUAAGCUCCGGCUAACUCCGUGCCAGCAGCCGCGGUAAUACGGAGGGAGCUAGCGUUGUUCGGAAUUACUGGGCGUAAAGCGCACGUAGGUGGCCAUUCAAGUCAGAGGUGAAAGCCCGGGGCUCAACCCCGGAACUGCCUUUGAAACUAGAUGGCUAGAAUCAUGGAGAGGUUAGUGGAAUUCCGAGUGUAGAGGUGAAAUUCGUAGAUAUUCGGAAGAACACCAGUGGCGAAGGCGACUAACUGGACAUGUAUUGACACUGAGGUGCGAAAGCGUGGGGAGCAAACAGGAUUAGAUACCCCCGUAGUCC
rnacentral:rRNA from 1 species